GGUGUGAGUAAAAAGGCUUCGAAAAUGAUGUCAUUCGCGUAACAUUAGGCUGCAAAUCAAUAUGAUUUCGGAAAUGCAGGAAAAUACAAAGAACUGAACGCUCUGCAACCUUGACUUCGAAGGAAAAGAAGAAGAAGAAAAAAGGAAUUUUUCCUUUUACGCUAAGUCUCAAAUUCUAGCCAUGAAGAGACGAUCUCCAACAUCCUCCGCUAAAGUUGCCAGGGGUCCAUUAUGCCGUGUAACAAUGCCAGCCGUGCCAGCGGGGUCAAGCAAACGACAAUGCCGAGGAGAAGUCUUGAUGGAAUAACGUAUACAGAUUCCAGCUAUGACUAGAACACUGACAUCUAUCUUACCUGUGCCCAUGAAGAGUUCUCUGUAGAAUGGCAGCUUAAAGUGACACUCCAGAGUCAAGAGGUAAGGUGUGAGUCCUUUAAAUACCUGUAGGA